rnacentral:piRNA from 1 species
UAUGCAGCUAGAGUCAAGAGCUCCG